GUGCUGUGAGUUUAACACUUCAUGACUGAGAUCAGAACAGAACAGAAUCUUCAUCAUCACACAAAUCAAAAGAACAACAAUGACUUUAAUCAUCAUCUUCAUCUGGACACUCACAGUCUUUACUCAAGUGUGUAGAGGACAGUACACUCUUACUCAGAGUCCAUCAAUAACAGUUCAACCAGGACAACAAGUUCAAAUAAACUGUAAAGUCAGCAGUGCAGUGUGUGGUGGUAAUUACUUAGCCUGGUACUUACAGAAACCUGGAGAAGCUCCUAAACUCCUCAUAUAUUAUGUAAAAACCCUUCAGUCAGGAACUCCAUCAAGAUUCAGUGGCAGCGGAUCAAACACAGAUUUCACUUUGACCAUCAGUGGAGUUCAGACUGAAGAUUCAGGAGAUUAUUACUGUCAGAGUUAUCACUGUAGUAGCACAGCAGUGUAGACACAGUGAUAAAGAGUGAUACAAAAACCUCUUUCAGUCAGACUCACAGUGACUGCACUCAUACACCUGACAGUAGAUGCAAAGUCCUUUAUUAACUUCACAUUUUGUACUAUUCUAUUUAAAUGACAACUUUAUGUAAUGUAAUUAAUUAUUUAUUUACUUUUUUUUCCUUUGUAAUGCUUUAUUCAAAAAGGCAUUAUUUUAUUGUCUAAUAUUAUUUAUUUAUUUUAUUGUAUAAUUCAUAAUAUUUUUAAAACUUUUCAUGUAGAGAAACAUCAGUCAGUAUCAUUGACCACAUUUACAUGCACCCUUAUGAUGUGAUUAUAAUGUGAUUUUGGCAAUAUUGCGAUUAUACUUCAUGUGUAAGGUUAAAAAUGUAGUAAUUUAUUAUUCUGUCACAACCUUCAUUUCUGACCUGUACCAUCUGCAUUCCUGUGCUCACUGAUCGUUAAA